rnacentral:rRNA from 1 species
GACGAACGCUGGCGGCGUGCUUAACACAUGCAAGUCGAACGGAAAGGCCCUGCUUUUGUGGGGUGCUCGAGUGGCGAACGGGUGAGUAACACGUGAGUAACCUGCCCUUGACUUUGGGAUAACUUCAGGAAACUGGGGCUAAUACCGGAUAGGAGCUCCUGCUGCAUGGUGGGGGUUGGAAAGUUUCGGCGGUUGGGGAUGGACUCGCGGCUUAUCAGCUUGUUGGUGGGGUAGUGGCUUACCAAGGCUUUGACGGGUAGCCGGCCUGAGAGGGUGACCGGCCACAUUGGGACUGAGAUACACCCAGACUCCUACGGGAGGCAGCAGUGGGGAAUAUUGCACAAUGGGCGGAAGCCUGAUGCAGCAACGCCGCGUGCGGGAUGACGGCCUUCGGGUUGUAAACCGCUUUCGCCUGUGACGAAGCGUGAGUGACGGUAAUGGGUAAAGAAGCACCGGCUAACUACGUG